CCUACGGGGGGCAGCAGUGAGGAAUAUUGGGCAAUGGACGAGAGUCUGAACCAGCCAAGUAGCGUGAAGGAUGACUGCCCUAGGGGUUGUAAACUUCUUUUAUAUGGGAAUAAAAUGUUACACGUGUGGGAUUUUGUAUGUACUAUAUGAAUAAGGAUCGGCUAACUCCGUGCCAGCAGCCGCGGUAAUACGGAGGAUCUGAGCGUUAUCCGGAUUUAUUGGGUUUAAAGGGAGCGUAGGUGGAUUGUUAAGUCAGUUGUGAAAGUUUGCGGCUCAACCGUAAAAUUGCAGUUGAAACUGGCAGUCUUGAGUACAGUAGAGGUGGGCGGAAUUCGUGGUGUAGCGGUGAAAUGCUUAGAUAUCACGAAGAACUCCGAUUGCGAAGGCAGUUCACUGGACUGCAACUGACACUGAGGCUCGAAAGUGUGGGUAUCAAACAGGAUUAGAUACCCCAGUAGUC
rnacentral:rRNA from 1 species